CUGGCUGUUUGGAUUUCGAAAAGGAGUCAAGCUUCGGGGGCUCGCUCGAACGAACGAGAAUUCGUGGGAGCAGCGGGGUGAGGGAACAGGGGAGAAGGGGACAGGUGCGCGCAGGUGCCGCAGGGCGCGACCGGAAGUCCGAUUCCACAGAGCUAAGGCCAGCCCAAACAAACGGCCUUCUCUCUUCUCGAGAUACGAGCUUACUUUGGGUAAGCUGUACGCGGUGUUCGGGAGACGGCAGGGCCGAGUCAUCGCAGCGGACAGCGCCGGCUUCGGGGGACAAUUCCGCGUCCUGGCUACGCUCCCUGUCCCCGAGAGCUUCCAGUUGGCCAGCGAGCUGCGCACUCAGACAUCCGGACUCGCCAGUCCCCAACUCGUCUUCAGCCACUGGGAGGUCAUCGAGCAGAAUCCUUUCUGGGUGCCGUCGACGGAGGAGGAAUAUCUGCACUUCGGUGAGAAGGCAGAUAGCGGAAAUCGUGCCAAGAGGUACAUCGACGCUGUGCGCCGUAGAAAGGGACUGCCAGUCGACUCGCAGCUCGUUACUCACGCUGAGAAACAGCGAACUUUAUCGAAAAAGAAAUAAUGCACACUUCCGCGCAAUUUUCACUUGCCCCUUAUCGGUUUGCAAAAUUUUCGCUCGAUUUGGGCGCGGAGUGCA